CCUACGGGUGGCAGCAGUGAGGAAUAUUGGUCAAUGGUCGGGAGACUGAACCAGCCAAGCCGCGUGAGGGAUGAAGGUCCAGAGUAUCGUAAACCUCUUUUGUCAGGGAACAAAGGCCGGGACGUGUCCCCGUCCGAGUGUACCCGAAGAAAAAGCAUCGGCUAACUCCGUGCCAGCAGCCGCGGUAAUACGGAGGAUGCGAGCGUUAUCCGGAUUUAUUGGGUUUAAAGGGUGCGCAGGCGGACUGUUAAGUCAGCGGUAAAAGUCAGGGGCUCAACCCCGGCGCGCCGUUGAAACUGGGAUUCUCGAGUUGGAGAGAAGUAUGCGGAAUGCGCGGUGUAGCGGUGAAAUGCAUAGAUAUCGCGCAGAACUCCGAUUGCGAAGGCAGCAUGCCGGCUCUCCACUGACGCUCAUGCACGAAAGUGUGGGUAUCGAACAGGAUUAGAUACCCGUGUAGUC
rnacentral:rRNA from 1 species